CUUCACCGAGCCGAGGUACAGCGGGGCCGCCGGGCGGUCCUGCCCAUAGGUCGCCAGCAGCGCCUGCGCCUC
rnacentral:antisense_RNA from 1 species